rnacentral:rRNA from 1 species
GACGAACGCUGGCGGCGUGCUUAACACAUGCAAGUCGAACGGAAAGGCCCUGCUUGCAGGGUGCUCGAGUGGCGAACGGGUGAGUAACACGUGGGUGAUCUGCCCCUUACUUUGGGAUAAGCCUGGGAAACUGGGUCUAAUACUGGAUAGGACCAUGUGUCAGGUGGUGUGGUGGGGAAAUUAGUUUCGGUAGGGGAUGAGCUCGCGGCCUAUCAGCUUGUUGGUGGGGUAAUGGCCUACCAAGGCGGCGACGGGUAGCCGGCCUGAGAGGGUGGACGGCCACAUUGGGACUGCGAAGCGACCCAGAAUCCUACUGCGGGCAGCAGUGGUGAAGAUUGCACAAUAGGGGGAAGCAGGCUGCAGCGGCGCCGCGUGGUGGGUGACGGCCUUCGUGUUGUAAUCUCCCUUUAGCCACGGCGAAGCCCUUUUGGUGACGGUAGUUGUAGAAGAAGCACCGGCUAACUACGUG